rnacentral:lncRNA from 1 species
GGUUCCGCCCUCUAGGAGGUGCAACAAGCGGCGCUCUUCUCAGAAUUUGCUAGCCAAGUACCCUGUGUAUGCUCCGCCCCUGGGAGCUCAUCCCUGAAGAAACUUCAAAUGGCUUCUAAGAAGAGAAGGCCAGCCCUUCCCGAUGUCCCCAGGUGAGGCAGGCUGCCCUCCUACCCCUCACAGCACCAAGAUGACAUAGAUUCAAGACUUGCCCUGCUGUGAGCCCCAGGCUGGGCUUUAGAGGCAGGAGUCCCAAGGAAGUGAGGCAAAGUCAGGGAAAUAAAUUAAUAAAUACAGGGGCCCCAUGAGGGCGGCUGGGAAGGCUGCUUUGCCUCUCAACACUGAUCACUGCUGUCCACUCCAGACAUUCCCACCUUUUCUUGAGUGGAAGCAGGGCUACAGUUUGGAAUGGAGAGCCUUUCUCUUGGGACAGGCUUCAGGAACUCAGAGUCUGCGCUCCAUGCGCCGCUCCACAGCUCUUAGCAGUAGCUCAGAGUACUGCUCCAACAGGGCCUGCGUCUGCUCAGCCCCCACAGCCCCAGGGCUGCCACCUGGGCUGGACAGCACUGCCCCAGCCAGAGCCUCGAGCUCCUGUCGCACUGAAGAGAAGGUGUCUCUCAGGAGACGGGUGAUGUGACUUUGUUCUGCCGAAGGUGUCUUACAGCUGGUCACCUGCAACAGGAACACUGAAAGUGAGCUGGAGAGCAGCAGACAGUGGAAUAUAGAAAAGGGGGCUCUGCCGGUGCCUUGCCCACCCAGUAGAAGGGACUGCCUAGGAGUUCUACACACAAGAUCAGGAUGGCCAGAGUCACUCUGAUGGGUGGCCCAGAUGAGGAUCCCUCCAGACUACUAGAACCAUUUACUUCUUGACAACUUUUCCCAACAACUCUCUUUCAAAUGUGACAGUUACAUUGUUUCUUAUAUCUAAGGUGCCCAAACCAUUUUGGGAUAUAAAAAAAAAAAAAAGAUAACAGCC